rnacentral:piRNA from 1 species
UACUCAUUUUAUUAGGUCUUAGUUGUUGGU